rnacentral:rRNA from 1 species
AUUGAACGCUGGCGGCAGGCCUAACACAUGCAAGUCGAGCGGAUGAAGGGAGCUUUCUCCUGUAUUCAGCGGCGGACGGGUGAGUAAUGCCUAGGAAUCUGCCUGGUCUUUGGGGAUAACGUCCGGAAACGGGCGCUAAUACCGCAUACGUCCUUAGGUAGAAAGUGGGGGAUCUUCGGACCUCACGCUAUCAGCUGAGCCUAGGUCGGAUUAGCUAGUUGGUGUGGUAAAGGCCUACCAAGGCGACGAUCCGUAACUGGUCUGAGAGGAUGAUCAGUCACACUGGAACUGAGACACGGUCCAGACUCCUACGGGAGGCAGCAGUAGGGAAUAUUGGGCAAUGGGCGAAAGCCUGAUGCAGCCAUGCCGCGUGUGUGAAGAAGGUCUUCGGAUUGUAAAGCACUUUAAGUUGGGAGGAAGGGAAGUAAGAUUAUCUCUUGCUGUUUUGACGUUACCAACAGAAUAAGCAACGGCUAACUUCGUG